rnacentral:rRNA from 1 species
GUCUUUUAAUUUGAGGCUAGUAUGAAUGGUUGGAUGAAAAAUAUACUUUCUUAUUAUUAUAUUAAAAAUUUAAUUUCCUAGUCAAAAAUCUGGGAUAAUUUUAAAGGACGAGAAGACCCUAUAGAACUUUAUUAUCAUAUCUUAUAAUAUUUAUAGAUUAUUAUAAAAUAAUAGGGUUUUGUUAAUUAUGUUGGGGUGACAAAAAAAAUAUUAUAACUUUUUUUAAUUAUGCCAUAUAUAUAUGUUAUUUUGAUCCUAUAUUAUGGAUUAUAAGAUUAAGUUACCUUAGGGAUAACAGCGUUAUUUUCUUGGAGAGUACAUAUCGAUAUGAAAGUUUGCGACCUCGAUGUUGGAUUAAAAUUAGUUGCAGGGGUAGAUUAUUGUUGACUAGGUCUGUUCGACCUUUAAAUUUUUACA